rnacentral:rRNA from 1 species
UUGUCCGGAUUUAUUGGGCGUACAGCGAGCGCAUGGCGGUUAGAUAAGUCUGAAGUUAAAGGCUGUGGCUUAACCAUAGUACGCUUUGGAAACUGUUUAACUUGAGUGCAAGAGGGGAGAGUGGAAUUCCAUGUGUAGCGGUGAAAUGCGUAAUAUAUGGAGGAACACCGGUGGCGAAAGCGGCUCUCUGGCUUGUAACUGACGCUGAGGCUCGAAAGCGUGGGGAGCAAACAGGAUUAAUACCCUGGUAGUCAAGGGCGAAUUCGC